rnacentral:rRNA from 1 species
GGACUACCAGGGUAUCUAAUCCCAUUUGCUCCCCUGGCUUUCGUUCCUCAGCGUCAGUUACGGCCCAGUAAGUCGCCUACGCCACCGGUGUUCUUCCUGAUAUCUACGCAUUUCACCGCUACACCAGGAAUUCCACUUACCUCUACCGCACUCCAGUCUGCCAGUAUCCAAUGCACUCCCGGAGUUGAGCCCCGAUCUUUAACAUCAGACUUGACAAACCGCCUACGAACUCUUUACGCCCAAUAAAUCCGGACAACGCUCGCAUCCUACGUCUUACCGCGGCGGCUGGCAC